ensembl:snRNA U6 U6 spliceosomal RNA
AUGCUCGCUAGGCCAGCACAUAUACUAAAAUUGGAAAGAUACAGAGAAGAUUAGCAUGGCCUCUGCGCAAGGAUGACAUGCAAAUUUGUGAAGCAUUCCAUAUUUUU